UACAGGGGGGGCAAGCGUUGUUCGGAAUUACUGGGCGUAAAGGGCCAGUAGGCGGCCAACUAAGUCCGACGUGAAAUCCCCAAGCUUAACUUGGGAACUGCGUCGGAUACUGGACGGCUUGAAUUCGGGAGAGGGAUGCAGAAUUCCAGGUGUAGCGGUGAAAUGCGUAGAUAUCUGGAGGAAUACCGGUGGCGAAGGCGGCAUCCUGGACCGACAUUGACGCUGAACGGCGAAAGCUAGGGGAGCAAACGGG
rnacentral:rRNA from 1 species